rnacentral:rRNA from 1 species
GACGAACGCUGGCGGCGUGCUUAACACAUGCAAGUCGAACGAUGAAGCUGGAGCUUGCUCCGGUGGAUUAGUGGCGAACGGGUGAGUAACACGUGAGAAAUCUGCCCUUCACUCUGGGAUAACUGCGGGAAACUGUAGCUAAUACCGGAUACUUUCCCUGGUGGGCAUCACUAGGGAAGAAAGAAUUUCGGUGAAGGAUGAUCUCGCGGCCUAUCAGCUAGUUGGUGAGGUAAUGGCUCACCAAGGCGACGACGGGUAGCCGGCCUGAGAGGGUGACCGGCCACACUGGGACUGAGACACGGCCCAGACUCCUACGGGAGGCAGCAGUGGGGAAUAUUGCACAAUGGGCGAAAGCCUGAUGCAGCAACGCCGCGUGAGGGAUGAAGGCCUUCGGGUUGUAAACCUCUUUUAGCAGGGAAGAAGCGAAAGUGACGGUACCUGCAGAAAAAGCACCGGCUAACUACGUGCCAGCCGCCGCCGUAA